rnacentral:lncRNA from 1 species
AACAACUGAAAACCACAAUUUUCUUACAGGUCAAAGCCAGUGGGAAAUGAUGCACUAUAAUAGAAAUCGCCUGGAUCCCCUGCAGACAUCUUCAGCCUCUUUUCAUCCACGAGGGCAAGAAAAGUCAAAGGGGCAGAGAAUGAGAAGAAAGGACACUGGAACUUGGCCAUUAAGCCUGUGGAAAUGAGUAGAAGGUGCCAAUGAAGACUGAGUUCUAAGCCUAAGUGGAGCCAGAAAUUUAAAAAAAAAAAAUCUCCCUCUGCCAAGAAAAGCAAUUACAUAAAAGUUGGUUCAGAAAUACAGCUUCAGAGUGGUGCAGUAUGAAGAAAAUUUUCACUAUAAUUUUGGGAUCCAAUCCUAAAUAAAACUGCAAUUGAUAAGAAAUCUUACUGUAAAGAAUUAUCCUGCCACUAAUUUAUAUCUUGUUAAAUGUGUAGCUUUUGCAUUCAGUUAAAAAGUAUGUUUUUUAAUAUGACUAUGGAAAAUGGUUCACUGCUGGGACUGUUACUGUCAUCACAUCUCUGGGGUGUCCUUGUUUAACUGAGUCUCCAAAUAUCUAGUGACAAUAACCAGAACUGAAAGUCUAAUGCCUUGAAAAGAAUCAACAUGUCUCUUUGGCAACAGAGAGAUCAGGAAGUCUGGGAAAACCUUAAGGUCUAUAG